ACAUUCCACUACUCGAGUCCACAACCAACUUUCGUCCUGACUCUACCAACUCAAUCAUCGUUCGUCUGCAAAAUAAUCCGGCCAUCCGCUGCAUUCUCUUCCAUCGGGCAGGCGGCAGGGCCAUGGCGGUGGUGGUUCCGGAGGCGGUCCUGAGGCACGGCGACGCGAGGCCCAUGCCGGCGGUGGGGAUGGGCGUGGCGGAGUACCCAAGCACGCCGGAGAGGACCAGGGACGCCGUGCUGGCGGCGCUCGAGGCGGGCUUCCGCCACUUCGACACCGCCUCCCUGUACCGCACGGAGGCGCCGCUCGGCGAGGCCAUCGCGGAGGCCACCCGGCGCGGCCUCCUGGCGUCGCGGGAGGAGGCGUUCGUGACCACCAAGCUGUGGUGCACCCAGUGCCACCCUGACCUCGUGCUCCCGUCCCUCCGGGAAAGCCUACGGAACCUGCAAAUGGAGUACGUGGACCUGUACCUGAUCCACUUGCCGAUCAGCGUCAAGCCCGGGCCAAUGGUGUUCCCGGUGAAGAAAGAGGACGUCGUGCCGUUCGACUUCGGUGGCGUGUGGCGGGCAAUGGAGGAGUGCCACCGGCUCGGCCUCGCCAAGGCCAUCGGCGUCAGCAACUUCACCACCAAGCACAUCGACAAGCUGCUUGCAGUAGCAACCAUCCUCCCUGCCGUCAACCAGGUGGAGAUGAAUCCGACCUGGCAGCAGAGGACAGUGAGGGAAUACUGUGACGCUAAGGGCAUUCGUGUGACGGCCUACUCGCCGCUGGGAGGGCAGAAUUGGGGAGGCAGCGCCAAUUAUGUGAUGGAAUCCUCGGUGCUCACGGAGAUCGCCAGGGCCAGAGGCAAGAGCAUCGCACAGGUAUCAUUGAGAUGGAUCUAUGAGCAAGGAGUGACCCCCAUUGCCAAGAGCUACAGGAAGGAGAGGCUUAAAGAAAACCUUGAGAUUUUCGACUGGGAGCUGACCGAUGAGGACCGGCUCAAGAUCAGCCAGAUCCCACAGAGAAAGAGGGUUACGGCUGCAAGCUUGUUCUCUCCAGAUGGGGAGUUCACAUCGGUUGAUCUCCCGGACAUCGAAAUUGUGGAGGAAUAGGUGGGCUUCCGCCACUUCGACACCGCGGCGCUGUACGGCACGGAGGCGCCGCUCGGCGAGGCCAUCGCGGAGGCGACCCGCCGCGGCCUCGUCGCCUCCCGGGAGGAGGUGUUCGUGACCACCAAGCUGUGGUGCACCCAGUGCCACCCGGGCCUCGUGCUCCCGUCCCUCCGCGAAAGCCUCCGGAACCUGCAGAUGGAGUACGUCGACCUGUACCUGGUCCACUGGCCGAUCAGCGUCAAGCCCGGGCCACCGAUGUUACCGGUGAAGAGAGAGGACGCCGUGCCGUUCGACUUCGAGGGCGUGUGGCGCGCGAUGGAGGAGUGCCACCGCCUCGGCCUCGCCAAGGCCAUCGGCGUCAGCAACUUCACCACCAAACACCUCGACAAGCUGCUUGCCGUGGCCACCAUCCCCCCUGCCGUCAACCAGGUGGAGAUGAACCCGGUGUGGCAGCAGAGGACGGUGAGGGAGUACUGCGCCGCGAAGGGCAUCCGCGUCGCGGCCUACUCGCCGUUGGGUGGGCAGAACUGGAUAGGCGAAGGCAACGACGUGAUGGAAUCCCCGGUGCUCGCGGACAUCGCCAGGGCCAGAGGCAAGAGCAUCGCACAGGUGUCAUUGAGAUGGAUUCAUGAGCAAGGAGUGACCCCAAUCCCCAAGAGCUACAACAAGGAGAGGCUGAAACAGAAUCUUGAGAUAUUCGACUGGGAGCUGACCAAGGAAGACCGUCUCAAGAUCAGCCAGAUCCCGCAGAAAAAGAUCGUCACGGCUGCACGAAUGUUCUCUCCGGAUGGUGAGUUCGCGUCGGUUGAUCUAUCAGACAUGGAAAUUGUGGAGGAGUAGGUCCAGAUGAAGAUGCCUGGCUGCCCCUGCUGCAGUUUUUUUUUCACGUUUGUAUUUAUGAAAAGAUUCAAUUAGGAUUUGUAUUUGAAUACUAAUUUUAUAUGGCUGCCUUUUUAAUUCGCCUUCGGAUGAUCGGUUAUCAAAUAAAUAAUGGAUGUAUCUUAAACUAUACCAAUAUACCAAUAGUUUUUGUUAAAAAAAUAUGUAAGAUGUAAUUAUAGUAUAACUUGUAUCUAAUAUUUAAGCAUAAAUAGUGUGUAAUUGCAAUUCAACUAAA